rnacentral:rRNA from 1 species
AUAAGCAAUUAUACGGCGAAACUGCGAAUGGCUCAUUAUAUAAGUUAUCGUUUAUUUGAUAGUGCCUUACUACUUGGAUAACCGUGGUAAUUCUAGAGCUAAUACAUGCUAAGUAUCCCGACUUCGGAAGGGAUGUAUUUAUUAGAUUAAAAACCAAUGCCCUCCGGGGCUCCUUGGUGAUUCAUGAUAACUCGUCGAAUCGCACGGCCUUGCGCCGGCGAUGGUUCAUUCAAAUUUCUUCCCUAUCAACUUUCGAUGUUUGGGUCUUGGCCAAACAUGGUUGCAACGGGUAACGGAGGGUUAGGGCUCGACCCCGGAGAAGGAGCCUGAGAAACGGCUACUACAUCCAAGGAAGGCAGCAGGCGCGCAAAUUACCCAAUCCCGACACGGGGAGGUAGUGACAAUAAAUACUGAUACAGGGCUCUUUUGGGUCUUGUAAUCGGAAUGAGUACAAUUUAAAUCCCUUAACGAGGAACAAUUGGAGGGCAAGUCUGGUGCCAGCAGCCGCGGUAAUUCCAGCU